AGUGAACGCUGGCGGUAGGCCUAACACAUGCAAGUCGAACGGCAGCACAGUAAGAGCUUGCUCUUACGGGUGGCGAGUGGCGGACGGGUGAGGAAUACAUCGGAAUCUACUUUUUCGUGGGGGAUAACGUAGGGAAACUUACGCUAAUACCGCAUACGACCUACGGGUGAAAGCAGGGGAUCUUCGGACCUUGCGCGAUUGAAUGAGCCGAUGUCGGAUUAGCUAGUUGGCGGGGUAAAGGCCCACCAAGGCGACGAUCCGUAGCUGGUCUGAGAGGAUGACCACCCACACUGGAACUGAGACACGGUCCAGACUCCUACGGGAGGCAGCAGUGGGGAAUAUUGGACAAUGGGCGCAAGCCUGAUCCAGCCAUACCGCGUGGGUGAAGAAGGCCUUCGGGUUGUAAAGCCCUUUUGUUGGGAAAGAAAAGCAGCAGGUUAAUACCCCGCUGUUCUGACGGUACCCAAAGAAUAAGCACCGGCUAACUUCGUG
rnacentral:rRNA from 1 species